CUCAUCAGUUUUGAAGUUUCUGGACUGGACCAACCUGUCUGAUGUUGGAAAGGAUAAAUUGUCCUCAUACAAAUCUCCUUCUAAACCAAGACUGCUCCAGCUACUGCUGUUACCAUUACUGCCAGAAGAAGAAAAGAACAGAGCUGAACCAGAAAAUGAAAAGUAAAGACCUUGGAUUUCCUUGGGACAGCUUCUGUCAGUGAUAACUGGGAGGUUCGGAAGCUGCCCGGCAGAGUGGGGCAUCCUUGGAGGCAGAGACCAUCACUGCUACUGGAAAAGACUUCUCUUCAACUGCCAGAAAGGGACUUGCCUAAAGUACCACAUAAACUACAAAGGCCAACACAGAGUUCCAGAAAAGGAAAAUUCUCAGACUUGGCACCUGACUCAACUGGCAUCUUUCUGUGAAUGUCUUAAAGGACAGAAACACAUCUCAACCUAAUACCUAGUAAUGGCUUCAUAUACUGAUCAUCCUUGAACAAAUCGGAUCCCAUUCCCCGCAGUGAAACUUGUGACAUCGGCAGGCAACCUUCUGCAGGACAGAGUGGGAUUCCUCAGAGCCAAUCCCCAUGAACUCCAAAGUAGCCCACUAUCCCUGGUUUGUUGCUUUACUGGCCUACCUACAUCAUUUCAUGGUUAGCACGGUCUCCGGUCUCCGUCCUCUGAAGGAUGUGACUACCACAUAUAGCAAACGCAACCUCAGGCCUCAUGAAAGCUAGUAGGACGCACAGAACAGAAGAGGAGGUGCCCCUCCUCUAAAUAAUUCAGCCCGCAUCUGCAUUAACCAAGUGAAAUGUGACAGAGGUGAGGCGACUGGAAAAUACAUAGCACGUAAGAUCUAACCUGUCAGGAUUUCACCCAGAGAAGGGAAAACUGACAGGGAUAUAAUAAAACUGAAG